AUGGCGUUGAGGAUCGCUUUGUUGGGACAAAUUUGUUGGAACCGGCAAGAAAUUUGGCUGCCGGUGAGAUCCUUUUUUGAUGGUGACCACACAUCGAGAUGCUGGAACCAACACGCCGAGAUGCUGGAAGCGGUUUCUUGGAACCAGCUAUCGGCGAGGUUAGAUCCAUUGGGCGACGAAGAUGCUACAACCAGCGGAGGCUGCAACCAGCAGGGAGGGAGAGACAGAUCGAGAGACAAUACCCCACCACCAAACGGCGCUCUCCUCCUCCUCGUCCUCUCCACGGCCAUUGAUGUUCAUGGCGGAUCAAGCUCCAGUGCCGCGCCACGUUCCCCGCUGGACGACCUCUGCAACAGCCUUGGACCUGGGUACGUCACGCCGAAGCUCUGCGUGUCCACGCUCUGCAUCGACCCCUCCUGCCGCUCUACGCGCGGCUUGCCGGGGCUCGCAGUGAUCGCCACCAGGCUGACGGUGUCCAACGCCACGGUGGCCAAGGCCAGCAUCGAGCAUGCGCUCGCCCACGCCAAGGACGGCAAGGCCAGGAAGGUCAUGCGGUCCUGCCUCCAGCUCUACACCGGCGCCGUCCCAAGGCUGCAGUGGGCGGCGCGGUCGGUUGCUGCUGGGCGAUAUAGCGGUGUACCGGAUGUGCUACAGGCUGCUAGGCACGUCUCAUCUGAGUGCACCAAUUUGGCCGCCAAGGUGGCACUUCCCAAGGAGAACGAUGAGUUCUUCAUGAUGGCCUACGUCGCGCAGGCCGUCGUCGAAUGGGUGCAGCAGUUUGGAUGA
rnacentral:rRNA from 1 species